rnacentral:rRNA from 1 species
AGAGUUUGAUCCUGGCUCAGGACGAACGCUGGCGGCGUGCUUAACACAUGCAAGUCGAACGGGGCUAUUUGAUUUCGAUUGGGUAGCCUAGUGGCGAACGGGUGAGUAACGCGUGAAUGACCUGACCUUGAGAGGGGGAUAACAACGAGAAAUCGUUGCUAAUACCGCAUAGGACCACACUGCCGCAUGGCAGAGAGGUGAAAGGAGAAAUCCGCUAAAGGAGGGGUUCGCGUCCCAUUAGGUAGUAGGCGGGGUAAAGGCCCACCUAGCCGACGAUGGGUAGCCGAGCUGAGAGGCUGAACGGCCACACUGGAACUGAGACACGGUCCAGACUCCUACGGGAGGCAGCAGUGGGGAAUAUUGGGCAAUGGGCGAAAGCCUGACCCAGCAACGCCGCGUGAGGGAAGAAGGUCUUCGGAUUGUAAACCUCUGUCCUUGGAGACGAAGGAAGUGACGGUAACCAAGGAGGAAGCCCCGGCUAACUACGUGCCAGCAGCCGCGGUAAUACGUAGGGGGCGAGCGUUGUCCGGAAUUACUGGGCGUAAAGGGUGCGUAGGCGGCAAUUUAAGUUGGAUGUGAAAUACCCGGGCUUAACCUGGGGGGUGCAUUCAAAACUGGAUAGCUAGAGUACAGGAGAGGGAAGCGGAAUUCCUAGUGUAGCGGUGAAAUGCGUAGAUAUUAGGAGGAACACCGGUGGCGAAGGCGGCUUUCUGGACUGAAACUGACGCUGAGGCACGAAAGCGUGGGGAGCAAACAGGAUUAGAUACCCUGGUAGUCCACGC